ACCCUCUCAGGAUGGCAACUGGAGAGUUUCCAGUACUCUACCAGUCUCGACUACAGGAAGGAGAUUCAAGCAGAGGCCUACCCAUUCCAUUCCUAGCUUGGCCAGUGGCUAGCGAGUGGAAGGCGAUCGGCUACAAGU